GGGUCUCUGGUAUAACGGCGAUUACUCUGGACUUUUACUCCAUGGAAUGUGGGUUCGACCCCCACGGGACCCA
rnacentral:tRNA from 1 species